rnacentral:rRNA from 1 species
UACGUAGGGCGCAAGCGUUGUCCGGAAUUAUUGGGCGUAAAGAGCUCGUAGGCGGCUUGUCACGUCGGGUGUGAAAGCCCGGGGCUUAACCCCGGGUCUGCAUUCGAUACGGGCUAGCUAGAGUGUGGUAGGGGAGAUCGGAAUUCCUGGUGUAGCGGUGAAAUGCGCAGAUAUCAGGAGGAACACCGGUGGCGAAGGCGGAUCUCUGGGCAUGUCCUGACGCUGAGGAGCGAAAGUGUGGGGAGCGAACAGG